GGUAGUAUGCUGCUCAACAGCAAUGAUGACCAAUCUCUCCUCAGGCGGCAGCCCAAGGUGGUCUAAGGUGUUUUUGUCAACACACCCAUACCUGGAAAAUCAGACUUGCACCCCUGGCUGGUCAUUCAGUGCUGUUCUGGGUCACAAUGUAGGAUCUCUGCCUGGGAUCUGUGGUACCUAUGCCAAGGACAUAGAGACACUGAAGAGAUAAUUGAGAAUAAACCCAUUAUGAACCAGGUGGCACUUUGUGAAGAAAAAUAAAUACAUUCCAUAACCAAGAACUCAAUGUGAAAAGUUUUACAGGCCGGCUGGAAACCAGUAGAGCACAAAUAUCUGUCUUUCUGUUCUUAAAUGCAGAGGAGUGGAGAGAAGA